AAGCAAGGCCAGUAUUCUUUCCACUUUGAACUAAUUUCUGUAUUUCUUUACAGAGAUGCAGUUCUUAUUUUCCUCAUAUGUGGGCGCUGUGCUGUUAAAAUGUGGGAGGAAACUGAUCACGUUUUACUACAUCAGACACGUACAUGCAAUAUGAGCUCAGUUUAAAACAGACAUUCAGACAUUCAACAUGAUCCGAGCUGCCAGUAUUCUAUGGGUUUUAAUGAUAUGUCACAGAGGGUUUUCUCAGAGUGAUCGUGUCUUCCAGACUCCUCCUGAUCUCUUUGGCAACCAUAAACAAUCUGUUAAAAUCCAGUGUGAACACAGUGUAUCAAGUUAUAAUCAAAUCAACUGGUACAGAGAAACUCAAAACCAGGGACUGACCUUAAUUGGAUAUCAAUAUAGGACGUCAUCACCACAGAUUGAAAAUGAUUUUAAGCUGAAAGUGGAGAUCGCUGGGGAUGGAAGCAAAACUGUCUCUUUGACAAUCAACAAUCUUUCAUCCGAUGACAGUGUGGUGUACUUCUGUGCUGCGUCUUACACAGUGCUGCAUCUCUGCUUUAUUCAGUACAAAAACCCUCUGUCUAAAUAUUCAUCACUUCAUUAACACCUGCUCCCGUGGCCUGGAAUUGACACACUGCCAGUGUUUUUUUAUUUGUUUUUUACAGAAAAGUCACACUGCCAACGUCUUAGGUAUCUAAAUUGUGAGCAUCUCCAUUAACUUCAAACAUACCUUUAAUAAUUGACAACACUUGUAAAUGUAAUCAUUUAUCACAUUUUAUUAUAUCCAAGGUGACUUACAGGUCAAGCAGAGACCAGUCUAAGCACAGAGCUGAGCAGUUCAUAACACCAACUUUAAA